UACGGAGGAUGCAAGCGUUAUCCGGAAUGAUUGGGCGUAAAGCGUCCGCAGGUGGCAAUGUAAGUCUGCUGUUAAAGAGUCUAGCUCAACUAGAUAAAAGCAGUGGAAACUACAUAGCUAGAGUACGUUCGGGGCAGAGGGAAUUCCUGGUGUAGCGGUGAAAUGCGUAGAGAUCAGGAAGAACACCGGUGGCGAAGGCGCUCUGCUAGGCCGUAACUGACACUGAGGGACGAAAGCUUGGGGAGCGAAUGGG
rnacentral:rRNA from 1 species